ACGUACACUCCUACGGGAGGCAGCAGUGGGGAAUCUUGCGCAAUGGGCGAAAGCCUGACGCAGCCAUGCCGCGUGAAUGAUGAAGGUCUUAGGAUUGUAAAAUUCUUUCACCGGGGACGAUAAUGACGGUACCCGGAGAAGAAGCCCCGGCUAACUUCGUGCCAGCAGCCGCGGUAAUACGAAGGGGGCUAGCGUUGCUCGGAAUUACUGGGCGUAAAGGGAGGGUAGGCGGACAUUUAAGUCAGGGGUGAAAUCCCGGGGCUCAACCUCGGAAUUGCCUUUGAUACUGGGUGUCUUGAGUAUGGGAGAGGUGUGUGGAACUCCGAGUGUAGGGGUGAAAUUCGUAGAUAUUCGGAAGAACACCAGUGGCGAAGGCGACACACUGGCUCAUUACUGACGCUGAGGCUCGAAAGCGUGGGGAGCAAACAGGAUUAGAAACCCGGGUAGUCCCAUGA
rnacentral:rRNA from 1 species